rnacentral:ncRNA from 1 species
CUGGCCCGGUCUGGAGAGCCGCGACUGCAAAAUAGAGCCAUGCUAUUCUAUACAGAGUGGAGCUCAACGAUAGUCCCAACAUUCUUAAGUGAAUCAGAAUCGGCGCCAUCGAGGGUCAUAAUUCCUCAGGAGUCUCGUGUCCAUUAUUUUUUUGUUUUAUUCUAUUUUGCUUUUACCACGAUUGAAUUGUUUGCGCCUUCAGAUUUUAGUGGGUGGUGAAUUCCAUCUGAAGCUAAAUAUUGGCGAGAGUUCGGUAGCAAACAAGUACAGUGGUGGAAAGAUGAAAGCGCUCUGAGAGAAAGUAAAAUGGCACGUGAGAUCUCUAAAAAUGAAGGGCUUGCAAUCAGACAAACCUUUGUCUAGGCCAACAUCGGGGCGAGGGGAAGUGAAAAAAGAAAAGAAAAUUGAGAUCUCACGUUUGGCAUCCGGCAUCUUCAGUUAUUUAGUCUGAUCAUUAGAGAAUGGACUAAAAAAAAGGGGGGAUUUGGGGGCGGAAAAAAGAUUUGUUUCUACAUUGAAACCUCUGAGUGUACAGCGAAGACCGGGUCUUGUAAAAUAUAUUACGGCUACUUGGGUCACUAUAAUCUCCCCCAUUUCAAAACAGA